rnacentral:rRNA from 1 species
GACGAACGCUGGCGGCGUGCUUAACACAUGCAAGUCGAACGGAAAGGCCCUGCUUUUGUGGGGUGCUCGAGUGGCGAACGGGUGAGUAACAAGUGAGUAACCUGCCCUUGACUUUGGGAUAACUACAGGAAACUGGGGCUAAUACCGGAUAGGAGCUCCGUCUGCAUGGUGGGGGUUGGAAAGUUUCGGCGGUUGGGGAUGGACUCGCGGCUUAUCAGCUUGUUGGUGGGGUAGUGGCUUACCAAGGCUUUGACGGGUAGCCGGUCUGAGAGGGUGACCGGCCACAUUGGGACUGAGAUACGGCCCAGACUGCUACGGGAGGCAGCAGUGGGGAAUAUUGCACAAUGGGCGGAAGCCUGAUGCAGCAACGCCGCGUGCGGGAUGACGGCCUUCGGGUUGUAAACCGCUUUCGCCUGUGACGAAGCGUGAGUGACGGUAAUGGGUAGAGAAGCACCGGCUAACUACGUG